rnacentral:rRNA from 1 species
UACGAAGGGGGCUAGCGUUGUUCGGAAUUACUGGGCGUAAAGCGCGCGCAGGUGGUCUUCCAAGUCAGUGGUGAAAGCCCGGAGCUCAACUCCGGAACUGCCAUUGAAACUGUAAGACUUGAGGAUGAGAGAGGUGAGUGGAAUUCCCAGUGUAGAGGUGAAAUUCGUAGAUAUUGGGAAGAACACCGGUGGCGAAGGCGGCUCACUGGCUCAUAUCUGACGCUCAGGCGCGACAGCGUGGGGAUCAAACAGG